GGGUCAGGUGUCAGCCAGGUUACCUGAGCUUCUUAACCCUUUAUAGGUAAAAGGAUUUAGGAGUCUCUGGCCAGGAGGGAUUUUAUAGUAUUGUACACAGGAGGGCUGUUACCCUUCCCUCUAUAGUUAUGACACAGGGCCUGACAAAUAACCUCAGUGGCCUAGCAGGGACAACUCCAUGAGCAGAACCCUGUCUGGGGCAGACAUAAAGGGGUUUUGUCUAGAGCCCAGUGACCGGCUAAUCUGGCCCUGUGAAUCACCAUAGGAGACUUGGUGGCAAAGCACUGGCAAGUGACACCUCCAUGAUCCGAGUUAAGGGAGCAGACCUUGUAGACCAGGCCCAAGGCUGGUAGCCAGCGAGCAAUAGCCAAACUGCUGGUUGAUCCAAUCUCUUACCAGAGCAAAUCACACACAGCAUCACUGUCGCCGUGAAAUGUGUCUCCUGAUGUUCUGGGCAGCCUCUCUAGGACCAGGACUCCCUCACCCUAGAAUCCCUGUUGAUACUGGGGACUCUGAACAAUCGUGGGUCUCCAUAGAAAUGCCCCUUCUCCCCCCUCCCUGGGAUCAGGAUGUCUCCUUUCAUUGUCCCAUUGACUCAGUGACAUUUGUGGAUGAUGCCCCCGUAGAGCCGUGGCCUGGGGAUGUGGAGGCUCUGAGGGGCAGGGAGAUUUCAGUGGGAUGGGUUUAUUGGUAGGGCCCAGAAGGAUCUGGAGUGGUGUGUCUUAGAGGUGAGUUCUCCUUCCAGGUCUUUUCUUCUUCUUCUUUUGUUCUUUCUGCUGGUCUCCUUCUUGGACCACAGUUUGUAUAGUGAAACUUGAGUCCUGCUUAACUAUACCUUAACCAAUCAUUUUACUAAAAUUUUACUAGCCAAUCCUAACAUGUUGUACCAAAAUUCUCUAACCAAUCAUACCCCACCCCCUUAAUUAAUUUACACCUACCAAAAUCAAUUAUGUAACAAACAGAAACAAUCAAAGAAUCAGACAGAGGUCAUCCACCCAAAUAGUAGAGAAGUUGGGACCAUAAAGACAAAACAAUAAAGAAAUGAGGAUUUCACAACCACAACUAUUGUGUGGAAGAGUCCAGAGCGUCUGUCUGCAGGGAGAGAGCCUGGGGGGAAUCGGGCUGUGACAUGCACUCAAGCUCCUUCUGAAACCUUCCCAAUCGCCCUGACAGGCUGAGGAAUCACAUCCAGAUUUCACUCAAGAUCGUCCCGUCUUCCAGGGGACAGGGAAGGGAAAUGGCUGUGAUGGAGUCAGCUCAGUUGCCGGUGACCUUCGAGGAGGUGGCUGUGUAUUUCACCCAGGGGCAGGGAGCUCUGCUG